UACGUAGGGGGCAAGCGUUGUCCGGAAUCAUUGGGCGUAAAGCGCGUGUAGGCGGUCCGGAAAGUCUGGUGUGAAAACUUGAGGCUCAACCUCAAGCCUGCAUUGGAUACUGUCGGACUUGAGUCUGGAAGAGGAGAGUGGAAUUCCUGGUGUAGCGGUGAAAUGCGCAGAUAUCAGGAGGAACACCGGUGGCGAAGGCGGGACUCUGGGCCGAUACUGACGCUGAGGAGCGAAAGCGUGGGGAGCAAACAGG
rnacentral:rRNA from 1 species